GGAUAAGUUUUCCGAUAAAUAGCACAGUAGUAGACCCUAAAAAUUCAUUCCGUGUUGCUUCUUAGAGCUACCAAAAUUACAAUUUUUGGAAAAGAAAAGGUUAAAGUAAAGACGCGUUCUGAAGUGAAACCCUAAAAAUCAAGAUUUGAGUAUCUCUCGAUCAUCUUCAAACCCUAAAUCAUCUUGUGUGGCAUCUUCAAAUUCUUCACAAAUUUGCGUUUCUCUUCGAAUAUUGCAGCGCGGUUUGUUUCGUUGACGAAAUCUUGUUUUCUUCAAGAUAGGGUUGCAACGUUCGCUAAGUUUCGAAAAUCAAUUUAUUCAUUGGCUCAGGUAAAUGCAAUUUCGAUCUUUUAAUUGUAAUGUUCGAAUUUCUUUUCAAAAGAUUUGCCCCUUCGAUUUAUAUAGUUGGUACAUGUUUCAUUCUUGAUUCAAGAUGCUUCAAUCUUCUGCUUUUUUUGUAAUAAAGAACUUACUAUUUUGUGAGUGAAAAAUUUAACUGGGGUAUACAAAUCUAUGAGAUUUUUUGUUUUUGCUGGAAAAUCCUGUAAUGUUGUGAAACACGAUAAAAAGAAAUAUUUUUUCUAAACUAUAGGAGCCUAUAUUUACAAUGCACAAGUUGGAUGAUAUUUUUUAUGUACCGAAUGAAAUUCUUUACUGUGAAUUGUCCAUGUGAUUUGAAAUCUCUGUUUGCAAUUUGAAAAAGGAUGAUAUAACCCCCAACCCCAAGUUUGAUGUUAGGAAUCGAUGAAUUUUGUAAUUGUUGGGAUGCCUGAGUGAUUUUAAAGAAAACUACAUGAUGCACACUUUAUUUGUAAUGUACAAAUUUAUAAUGCUUUAAAUGCAUUUAUGAAUGUGAAUUUGUAUUCACAAUAUAAGGUUGGUUAUCUAUUGAGCUUUUUUUGACUUGAAUGCAUUUAUGAAUGUAAAAGUUGUCCGAUGCCUUUGAUGCGAUAUCGAUAUGAAUUGAAUUUGAUUCAUUCAUAAUAUAAGGGAUGGAUUGGAUGCAUCGAUGACCUGAAAGGAAUCAAUGAAUAUAAAUAUGAGCCUAAAUUUUGAGACUAUAUGCUGCCUUCAUGACCCGAAAGGAAUCGAUGAAUAUUAUUUGUUCUAUAAACUGUUGCUAGUAUUUGGAAGCCUUAUUGACCGUAAAAAAACAUUAGGAACACUUUACUCAUAAUGUAAAAGUUGUCUGAUCAUCUGAUGCCUUUGAUGCGAUAUCGAUGUGAAUUGAAUUUCAUUCAUUCAUAAUAUAAGGGAUGGAUUGGAUGCCUCAAUGACCCGAAAGGAAUCAAUGAAUAUAAAUAUGAGCCUAAAUUUUGAGACAAUAUGCUGCCUUCAUGACCCGAAAGGAAUCGAUGAAUAUUAUUUCUUCUAUAAACUGUUGCUAGUAUUUGGAAGCCUUAUUGACCGUAAAAACAUUAUGAACACUUUACUCAUAAUGUAAAAGUUGUCUGAUGCCUUUGAUGCGAUAUCGAUGUGAAUUGAAUUUCAUUCAUUCAUUCAUAAUAUAAGGGAUGGAUUGGAUGCCUCAAUGAUCCGAAAGGAAUCAAUGAAUAUAAAUAUGAGCCUCAAUUUUGAGACUAUAUGCUGCCUUCAUGACCCGAAAGGAAUCGAUGAAUAUUAUUUGUUCUAUAAAUUGUUGCCAGUAUUUGGAAGCCUUAUUGACCGUAAAAAACAAUAUGAACACUUUACUCAUAAUGUAAAAGUUGUCUGAUGCCUUUGAUGCGAUAUCGAUAUGAAUUGAAUUUCAUUCAUUCAUAAUAUAAGGGUUGGAUUGGAUGCCUCAAUGACCCGAAAGGAAUCAUCAAUGAAUAUAAAUACGAGCCUAAAGAUUGAGACUGUAUGCUGCCUUGAUGACCCCAACGGAAUCGAUGAAUAUUAUUUGUUCUAUAAACUGUUGCUAGUAUUUGGAAGCCAUAUUGACCGUAAAAAACAUUAUUAACACUUUACUCAUAAUGUAAAAGUUAUGUUUCAUGAGCUACAAUUUUAGUAAAACCACCAAUUUUGUCCAUGAAAGAAAUAAAAAGUGAUAAACAAUCUUAAUGUUUUGUCUCAUUCUGUCACUAUCUGCCAUUAUAUAACAGUUUUGUUAGUAGCAGCCAUUGAACUUUCAACCGAAAGAUGAACAUACUUCAACCGUAUAUCAAGGUUUCUACCACUUUUUUUCAUGUAUGGUGUGGAACCAAUUGAAGUGCAGUUCAGGAUAUGAAUGAAAUUGCGAUUUUAUUUUUCAAGGACUAAGAACGAAUUUCUAAAACUUUAGAGGGACUAAAAAUAAUACUUAAAGAAAAGACAGGAAAAGAAAUUAGAAGAACUGAGCUAUUCGAUGACUGGGAAGGAAUCCAAGCAUUAGUGUUUCAAUUAAUUUUGCAAGUGUCGGUUGCGUAGACGACCCUCUAAAAGAAGCAUCAAGGAUGCCUAAUCUGCAUGUUGGAGAUAAAUGGAGGAAAUUCUCAUAACUAUGAUGGCUUAGAGGUUGAGGAUCUCAACUACUACGUAGAUAAUCGUCCCGGGAAAAUGAGGACAAUAAGGAGGAUAACACUGAAAAAGGUUGCUAGCCUUUCUGCCCCAAAGCAACAAAAUAUGAAUUUGUAAGUAAGAAAAUAUCAUACUCUCACUUUCCAUGUCGGGGGUAUUCAAUAAGUUUAAUCUUUUCUGCCCUAAUUGUUGAAUGUAUGAUCUAAAUAAGUUUAAUCUUUUCUGCCAAUGAUUGAAAAGAAAGUUCUUGUUGAGUCU